AAGUUGUGAUGUGGGAACUUUCUCGAUAAGUCCUUGAAUCUCUCCCAAGCUUCGUACAAACUCUCUGUAUCAUGGUGGACAAAGAUCGUUAUCUCAUUGCGCAGUUU
rfam:Jatropha curcas cultivar GZQX0401 scaffold524_28, whole genome shotgun sequence.